rnacentral:rRNA from 1 species
GACGAACGCUGGCGGCAGGCCUAACACAUGCAAGUCGAACGAGUGGCGGACGGGUGAGUAAUGUCUGGGAAACUGCCCGAUGGAGGGGGAUAACUACUGGAAACGGUAGCUAAUACCGCAUACCAUCGGAUGUGCCCAGAUGGGAUUAGCUAGUAGGUGGGGUAACGGCUCACCUAGGCGACGAUCCCUAGCUGGUCUGAGAGGAUGACCAGCCACACUGGAACUGAGACACGGUCCAGACUCCUACGGGAGGCAGCAGUGGGGAAUAGUGGACAAUGGGCGAAAGCCUGAUGCAGCCAUGCCGCGUGUAUGAAGAAGGCCUUCGGGUUGUAAAGUACUUUAAGUGAGGAGGCGUUACUCGCAGAAGAAGCACCGGCUAACUCCGUGCCAGCAGCCGCGGUAAUAC